UACGUAGGGGGCGAGCGUUGUCCGGAGUUACUGGGCGUAAAGCGCACGCAGGCGGUCUGCUAAGUUUGGAGUGACAGUUGGUGGCUUAACUGCCAAAGUGCUUCGAAAACUGACAGACUUGAGGGCUUCAGAGGGACACGGAAUUCCGGGUGGAGUGGUGAAAUGCGUAGAGAUCCGGAGGAACACCAAAGGCGAAGGCAGUGUCCUGGGGAGUACCUGACGCUCAGGUGCGAAAGCCAGGGGAGCGAACGGGAUUAGAA
rnacentral:rRNA from 1 species